GUGACAAUAAAUACUGAUACAGGGGGCUUUUGCUUCGUGUAAUUGGAAUGAGUACAAUUUAAAUCUCUUAACGAGGAACAAUUGGAGGGCAAGUCUGGUGCCAGCAGCCGCGGUAAUUCCAGCUCCAAUAGCGUAUAUUAAAGUUGUUGCAGUUAAAAAGCUCGUAGUUGAACCUUGGGCCUGGCCGGCCGGUCUGCCUCACCGCAUGCACUGGUUUCGGUUGGGCCUUUCCUUCUGGGGAGCCGCAUGCCCUUCACUGGGUGUGCUGGGGAACCAGGACUUUUACUUUGAAAAAAUUAGAGUGUUUAAAGCAGGCAUUGGCUCGAAUACAUUAGCAUGGAAUAAUAGAAUAGGACGCGUGGUUCUAUUUUGUUGGUUUCUAGGACCACCGUAAUGAUUAAUAGGGAUAGUCGGGGG
rnacentral:rRNA from 1 species